rnacentral:sRNA from 1 species
UAACCGCCUGCGAGCGCGGUGGCCGGAA